CACUAAAAACAUCCAGCAGGGAGGCUGAUGCAACACUAUCACGAAUUGUUCCAGCUCUUCCUGAAUCGAUAUGGUUUGUCAAUGUUGGGAUCCUCGACGGUGAUUAGCAACUGAAUCGUGGUAAUCAUCGACACUUCUCUCCCACAGCCAACUCCCUUUGAUCUGGCCCAUCAUUUUAUAUUGCUCCUCUUCCUUUUUGUUUGGAUAAAGUUAGUCUUUCAUAUCUUUUUUACCUGUUUCAUAUGUCCUUGCACUAAUUUUGAUCAGUGUGCUAUUAGAUUUCUACAGCUAGAACAAAGUGUAUGUGUAUUCUGAAUCCAGGUGCGUUGACGUUCUGUUGCUUGAAGUGAUGUUUUCUUGGUGACGAUGUAGGAUGGAAGUACACUUUACUUCAAAGGAUUGCACACAUAUGAAGCGGUUAUUGAUGAAGUCAUGGAAAAGGGACUUGCCAAUGCUACACAGUCAUGAAAUCUUUGUCUGUUUCACUCUUCUUCCAUACAUGAUAUACAAGGUUCUUGGGAUGCUCAGUACUGUUGCUAGGAGGUACGAAAUGGUUUGAUCUGUCAAGCAUGGAUUGCUGAAGCACAAAAUACAAGGGGGUGCAUGAGGAGGCGAGAGCUGACGGCAACCAUUGGAGGAGGUCUGGUCGGUCGAAGAGUAAGGCGUGGGCAACUCCGGAGAGAUUUGGCUUGAGCAAAUGUUGAUGCUGCUGCAAUGAGAAGAUCCUUUCUGCAUGUAAUUCAGGAAAUAGCUGAGCUCCCAGCCUCCUUAGACUGGCAUGGGCACAUCAAUAAGGGCAUGGAGCCCAUCAAAGAGGAGGUCGGAGCGGCGUUGGACCUGGAUCAACUCAUCUAAAUCAAGCGGCCGGCUCCGGCUGGGAGUCGCCAACGCUCCACCUGGACGGCGUCGGCUGGGAGCUGCGACAGCUCCACAUGCAAUGGCUGGCCGGGGACCAGACCUCGACAGGAACGUGUUGCCCUUUGAGCCGGUGCAGAGCAAAAAGUUCGUAGCAUCGUUAUAGUUUUUUGCACAAAGAU